UACGAAGGGGGCUAGCGUUGUUCGGAAUUACUGGGCGUAAAGGGCGCGUAGGCGGUGCCUCAAGUCAGGCGUGAAAGCCCCGGGCUCACCUCGGGAAGUGCGUCGGAAACUGCGAGACUAGAGUCCCGGAGAGGGAGGUGGAAUUCCAGGUGUAGCGGUGAAAUGCGUAGAUAUCUGGAAGAACACCGGUGGCGAAAGCGGCCUCCUGGACGGUGACUGACGCUGAGACGCGAAAGCGUGGGGAGCAAACAGGAUUGAAGAAACCCUAGGUAGUCCAAGACCAAGUACCUCUGUUACCUCGUGA
rnacentral:rRNA from 1 species